GGGGGUGAGGUCACCGUUGCUGCCAUUGUUUCCGGGUCAUCAUUUCAUCGCCAUUUUACUGGUGAGAAGUGGAGAGGAAUCACAUGGUGAGAUGUGGGACCAGGGAGGACAACCCUGGCCUCAGUGGCCUCUGGGCUCACAGCAGCAGUGGAUGCAGUCAUUUCAGCAUCAGCAGGAUCCAGGUCAGGUGGACUGGGCUGCUCUAGCACAAGCAUGGAUAGCACAGAAAGAAUCCACCGGAGGGGUUGCAGACCCACCAGGGAUUCAGCCCAAUGGUCAGGAGAUGCAAAACAUGGAACCUCCAGCCCAUAAUAACCAUGGUGCCUUUCCAGGCGAUCCCAAUUUUGGCAGGGGUUGGCAACCAGAGUGGGGAAUGCAUGGCCAGCCUCCUCCUCACCCUCCAGAACAAGCAUGGAUUCCUCCUGGUCAAGGACCGAUGGAUGUUGUCAACCCGUCAGAAGACAGUAACAGUCAAGAUAGUUUAGAAUUUCCUGGAGACCCGCACCAUGGGGGCUUUCCUCAAAACAGUCAUGGGUUUGGGGGUCAGCCUGAGCCUUACCCUAUUGGACCAGUUGGUGUCAAUCAGUUUGAUUAUCAGCAUGGAGCAGCUCCAACGGGGGCAGCAUAUGGGCCACCCUCCACCGGGUUUCAUGCACCUUAUUGGCCCGACGGACCUCAGAACAGAAGAGACCGGCUUCCUGGCUUCAGACCAGAACGGCCCAGAUCCCCAAACCAGAUGGGAAUAAAACCAGAGGCGCCAACUCUUGAUGCUGUUAAACGGAGGACCUUGCCAGCAUGGAUUCGAGAAGGCCUGGAAAAGAUGGACCGUGAGAAGCAGAAAAAGUUGGAGAAGGAGAGGAUGGAGAAAGAGCGUGCUGAAAUGGCAAUUAAUGAAAGGAAUAGCGAUAUGGUAGAGGAGGAAGGUGAUGGGCCUCGGUUGCCACGCAAGAGCAAAUUUGACAGUGAUGAUGAGGAUGGUGAAGAUGGUGCCGGUGAGGAUGGCGAAUCAGAGAGGAGGCGGAUGGAGUUUAUUGGUAGAAGUUCUCCUCCUAUUCAGGAAGACCAAAGUGAACCAGAAAUGACAGAAGAGGAGAAAGAGUUUCAGCUGAUGUUGAUGACUAAAACUCUUCUCACCGAAGUCCUCCUUGAAGUCACAAAUGAGGAGAUCUUCCUAGUGGCUAAAGAGACUCAUCGCAAAGCCACCAAAGCUCCUGCAAAACAGCUGGCACAGUCAAAUGCACUGGCUUCUCUGACCGGCCUUGGAGGGCUGGGUGAGUACGGCUCAGACGAGAGUGAGGAUGAGGAGCGGAGCGCGAAGGGGUCGGAUUCAUCAGACACAGACGAUGAGGAGCUGCAGCACCGCAUCCGCCAGAAACAGGAUGCCUUCCGUCGCAAAGAGAGGGAGGAGCAGCAGCAGCUGCAGGAGAGGCUGGCACUGGAGGCACAGACUAUAAAAGAAGAUGUGGCAUCUGACAGAAUGAGCAGAGAGAGGGCAGGUUAUGAGGAGCAGACAGAGUCCAAACACAAACAGGAAGUUAGGGAAAGGGAGGCGGAGCCUACAGUAGAGCGACGCAGGUCGCGUAGUGAGCCUGAGGUCAGUGAGGUCAAGCGGGUGAGCAAAGAGCACGCAGGGCGUAACGGAGGAAGUGCCAGCCCCUCACCGAGUGAGCGACGUAGCCGCACAUCCAGCUCUAGCUCUUCCAGCAGCCGGUCCUCUUCGUCGUCCUCAUCCUCCUCUCGCAGCUCCUCCCGCUCCUCCUCUCCCAGAAGGAAAAGGCGACGCAGCCGCUCCGCCUCUCGUGGGACUCGCAGGCGCAGCCGAAGUCGCAGCUCUCGCAGGCAUCACUCGGAGCGCGACAAGGGCAGAGACAGGAGGCGGAGCAGCCGCACACACAGCCCCGAACGUUCCUCUCGUCACAGGAAGCGCAGCCAUUCGCGGCAGCGCAGAUCCAGCAGGGGCCGCAGGAGCAGGUCCAAAGCCAGUCGCAGCCGCAGCAGAGAGAGGCGGCGCAGCAGGGACCGCAGGCGCAGCCGGAGUCGCAGUACGAGCCGCAACAGGCGGAAACAGAAAGCCUCCAGCAAGGACAGGGACAGAGACAGGAGGAAAGAGAGAAGCCGGAGCCACGAAAAGGAGAAGAAAAAAAAAGAGAAGGAAUUAGAUAAAAAGAAAGACAAACAGAAGGGCAAGGAGAAAGAGAGCGAGGGCAGUUCAGUAAGGGACGAGGAAGACAAUGGCAAAUCGAGGCGGAAAAAAGAGAGCGAGAGGACUGACUCUCACAGUGAGAGAUUUUCUCGGCAAGACAGCAAAUCUAGCAAGAAAGGCUCCGCCAAAGCUAGCAAAAAGUAUUCCGAUUCAGAGUCCAGCAGGAGCAGGUCCCCUUCCCCUGAGGUUAGCAAAGAAAAAAAGUCUAAGAAAUCAAAACGUAGUCGAUCAAGGUCAACGGAAAGAUCUCACAAGUCUGGUAAGAAGGCAAGCCGCAAACACAAGUCUAAGUCACGAUCAAGGUAGUAUCCAUUUUCUUUCUACUUUUUUUUUUAUUGUUGAACUGUUUUAUUUGUUUGUGUGUGAAUGAUAAAUAGUAUUUAGAAUGUCACAACUGUUGCAAUUCAAGUUACGCUCAAGUUCAUUUUUGAAAUUAAGGUGUUACAUUUAAAUUUGCAGUCACAUAAUGUUGAAUGUGCAAUACCCGAGUUGUCCACAAAUGGUUGGGCUGUGCUUCUCAAGUGCUACUGAGAUUGAUAUGGUUUCCCCCUUUUCUCAUUCAGUGUUGAUCCAACAGCUGUUUAAGGUCCACGUCUCCCAGCCGUCGCAAGCGUUGAGGGGGCGUUCUGCCUCUGAUCUGUGCACUUCUUUUAAAAUUCCAUGAGUUAACAGGCUUGUCUCAUUAUCGAGGCAACGUUGUAGGUGAACUCUCCACUCCAAACCCCCUCACUCUCCUUAUUUUGUAAAUAUAUGGUAUUUUUAAGUGUUGUCUUCAAAACUGAAGAUUUUGAAUGAUAGUUUCUUUUUUGCCUUGUGUUAUGCAAGACUAAGCGUUCAAGUAGUCAAUAGAACCUUGAAACUGUAACAUUUUAAGAACCUAACACCAGAGGAAAUAAAUUCUCAUUUAAUGUAAAUUGUUCAAUAAAACAAGAAUGAUUCUUUCUGUCUAA